rnacentral:rRNA from 1 species
AGGACACGCUGGCGGCGUGCCUAACACAUGCAAGUCGAGCGGGGUUGAAGCGAGGGGUAACUCAAGCUUCUACCUAGCGGCGGACGGGUGAGUAACGCGUGGGCAACCUGCCUCAAGGUCUGGGAUAACAGCUCGAAAGGGCUGCUAAUACCGGAUAUGCCUAUGGCCUCGCAUGGGGCUAUGAGCAAAGGGGAAACCUGCCUUGAGAUGGGCCCGCGUCCCAUCAGCUAGUUGGUGAGGUAACAGCUCACCAAGGCGACGACGGGUAGCCGGCCUGAGAGGGUGACCGGCCACACUGGGACUGAGACACGGCCCAGACUCCUACGGGGGGCAGCAGUGGGGGAUCUUGCACAAUGGGCGAAAGCCUGAUGCAGCGACGCCGCGUGAGCGAAGAAGGCCUUCGGGUUGUAAAGCUCUGUCUGGAGGGACGAAGGAAGUGACGGUACCUCCGGAGGAAGCCACGGCUAACUACGUG